AUGAAAACAACACUUGUGGCAAGCUGUGACAUACUGUGCUGCGAACUCUAUAACAUCAGACCUUUCACCCCAAAAGUGUACAAAAAAAGGAUGUGUCUGUUGAUCCUGGAGCACUGUCGCUGGUUGGUCAUCCAGAAGUUCCAAGCUAUCAUGAAGGGCCUCGCCGUGGAUGACCUCAUGUGUCACGUCCUGACCAGUGAAAAGGGUCAUUUGUCAUAGUAGAAUGGUCAGGGCGUGGCAGGGGGGUUGUUUUGUGUGUUUUGUUUUUUUUGGUUCUAGGGGAAUUUGCUCUAGUUUUCUAUUUCUAUGUUUCGUUUUUCAUGUUUGGCCGAGUAUGGUUUCCAAUCUUUCGUUGUCUCUGAUUGGAAGCCAUACUUAGGCAGCCUGUUUUCCUUUGGGUUUUGUGGGUGGUUGUUUUCCGUUUUGUCUGAGUACCUUACGGAACUGUUGGCUGUCGUUAUUUUGUUUAAGUGU
rnacentral:lncRNA from 1 species